UACGUAGGGUGCGAGCGUUGUCCGGAAUUACUGGGCGUAAAGAGCUCGUAGGUGGUUUGUCACGUCGUCUGUGAAAUUCCGGGGCUUAACCUCGGGCGUGCAGGCGAUACGGGCAAUACUUGAGUGCUGUAGGGGAGACUGGAAUUCCUGGUGUAGCGGCGAAAUGCGCAGAUAUCAGGAGGAACACCGGUGGCGAAGGCGGGUCUCUGGGCAGUAACUGACGCUGAGGAGCGAAAGCGUGGGGAGCGAACGGGAUUAGAUACCCCUGUAGU
rnacentral:rRNA from 1 species